rnacentral:lncRNA from 1 species
CCACAUGCCUUUGUCAUGUACACUCACCUCUCUUCUGAGACGGGCUCCAUCCCGUGGCCUUUCUCUCUCUGUGGAGUUCACUCUGCCCCUUGCCACAGGCCCCUCAGCUCCUCUCUGGGAAGUGCAGAUGCUGGUCUCUGCCCCUUCUCAGCCAGGACUCAGGAAAGGGUCAUGCACAGGCCUUGCCUAUGGUUCCUGCACCCCUUGCCCAGAACAACGGCGUUGCACACCCAUGGUCGCCAACCCACCCUCCUCAGUCCUCGUUUCAGGUGACUGCUCCCUGUGAUGAAAGCCACUCCCUGGGCUCCCAUAUCCAGCUCUCAUUCCUCCCAUGCCCCUCUCUGCCUCCACUGAAGGCCCAUCUUCUUCUCUGAAUGUGGGAUUUCUCAGGCUCCCAAGCUACUUCACUUUCCCUUCUCUCCCCUGCCCCUCACUACCCAUAACGUUUUCAACCGACACCUCAUUCCACCAGGAAUUUCCCUGAGCUCCUAACAGUUUAGACUUUUCCAACAAGGUCUCACCUUCCUGAAGCCCAGUGGGAAACGGGCCCACACCCUGGAGGAGCCACUUAUCACCCCAGGGCAGCCCUGGAGGCUCCCACUGCCAGUGCAGGGUGUGGGGCGAGAGCAGGCAUGGCUGCAGUCAAGACAACUCCUGCUCCCUGAAAAAGAAAUUUGCCUGUCCAUGUUGAAAGGAGAGUGAUCAGGACACAAAGCACAGGAUAGAGCUAAACAACAACCUAGGGACCAAGGAUGCUGUUCUAGAUUCUAGAGGCAGCUGGUGUGGCUAAUGUGCUCAUGGCUGGCUCUAGUUGAUUAAUCCCUUCAAGAUGCUAUGGAAGCUAACCCUGAAAGUGCACCUCUGCCCUAGGGGGAGACAGGUAACAGUGACAAAGUAGGAAACAGUAACCCAGGAGGACAAAAGUGAGAUAAGGGGAUAAUAAAUCUGGGGGCUGAGAACAUGGGACAUCUGGGGAGCAGGCCCCAAACUCGCUCAGCCUGUCCUCUCUUCACCCUCCUUCACCCGCUUCCUGAUUCCGGG